rfam:Dipodomys ordii contig_41274, whole genome shotgun sequence.
UGGCUCAGUGGUAGAGUACUUGCCUUGCAUGCAUGAGGCCCUGAGUUCAAAUCCUCAG